ensembl:lincRNA
GACACGGGAUGUUUGAAGAAGCCUUCUGGCAGCCAGUUCGUUUUCUCUUCUCUCUAAUCUGCUUCCUUCCUGAGUUAGCUCUCUCGCCCGCGGCUUAUCAACUUCCUGUGUUGCAUGAUCCAGGUUUCUGUCUCUUUAUGCUUCCAUAUCAUGGAAGCAAAAGAGCCUAUUUCGGAGAGGGAGACUGGCAAGUUGGGGCAGUGUGUCCCCACCUCUCUCCUGCUUGGUGCUCAGCGCUCUCCCUGGCUACCACUUCAGGCCUGUAAUGAUGUUUGUUUCUAGUCACUUUAUGGCUGUGCUGCUGCAAUUUUAGGGCCUUUUGAGCUGAAUGGCAGGAUAGCUUCCUCAGUCCUGGACUGUUCUACAAAGUACUGAAUCACUAAACCACAGCUGGCUUCCUCCUGCCUUCGUCUUCUGCUGCCUG